rnacentral:rRNA from 1 species
AUUGAACGCUGGCGGCAGGCCUAACACAUGCAAGUCGAACGGUAACAGGAAGAAGCUUGCUUCUUUGCUGACGAGUGGCGGACGGGUGAGUAAUGUCUGGGAAACUGCCUGAUGGAGGGGGAUAACUACUGGAAACGGUAGCUAAUACCGCAUAACGUCGCAAGACCAAAGAGGGGGACCUUCGGGCCUCUUGCCAUCGGAUGUUCCCAGAUGGGAUUAGCUAGUAGGUGGGGUAACGGCUCACCUAGGCGACGAUCCCUAGCUGGUCUGAGAGGAUGACCAGCCACACUGGAACUGAGACACGGUCCAGACUCCUACGGGAGGCAGCAGUGGGGAAUCUUGCACAAUGGGCGCAAGCCUGAUGCAGCCAUGCCGCGUGUAUGAAGAAGGCCUUCGGGUUGUAAAGUACUUUCAGCGGGGAGGAAGGGAGUAGAGUUAAUACCUGUGCGCAUUGACGUUACCCGCAGAAGAAGCACCGGCUAACUCCGUG